CUAAUUUAAAAAUGUAUUUUACAAAAUUUUUGAUACUUUUGGCUAUUUUCGCUUUCGGUUUUUGCACCAUAAUCGACUUGAAAGAUGGCCGAAGGAUGGUUGGUCGAAUUUUGAAGCCGGAAUAUUAUUAUGACGCAACACGAAGAGUGGCCAGUCCUUAUAAAACCUGCUAUGUAGCUCCCGCCGCUGAUUGCUGUAUAGAGGUGUUGUAAGACCUAGUAUCUACGUACGGAUUCUACUAAUGUACCUACCUAAUAA